CUUCAGAAGCCAAUUGACUAGGGCAGGAUCAGAAGACAAUACACAGCAGAAGUGAAGCAGAGUUUGUAGAAGGAAUGGUGAAAAAGUAGAAACUUAGGGACCAAGAGAGCCACAUAAUUUACUUCUGCUUGGUUUUCUGAGCUGUCUUAAUACUAUGUUAAUAACCCAAAGGCCAUGUGGAGGCCCAGCUGGAGAGCAGAGAUGUCUCUCAGACAAGUGAUGCUCUGUAUCCCUGCCUUUGGGGUCUUAAGGAGAACAACUUGCUUUAGAGAAAAGGGGACUUUAGAACAACUGAUGACCUUCAUUUCUUCCUAGUGUCUUAUAUAAAUUUAUAAAUAGAUUUACAUUGUUACAUCUCUGCUGGCAUUUUAGAGAAUCUAAAAUGGAGAUCAAAAGAAAGCAGCAAGAUUACAAGCCCUACUGCACCCUUCCCAAGCACCCCAUUCCUUCAUAAAGUGGUAACUAUUGUAAAUUCUAUGUCCAAGCCGGCUUUUCCAAGGUCAGAGAAAACGGAAAUCUUAAGAUUGGCCCAAUCAAAGAGGAACAUUAUCACUUUGAACAAAGACCUUGAAAAGGACCUGCAGAGGAGAGAUGAAGCAAACCAGGAGCUGCUUCUCAAAACCCAAGAGAAAGAACGCGAGAUCCAGAGCUUGCAAAGAAAUCACACAAGAUAACCAAGUGUGAACAAUGUUAUCCAGAUAGAACCCCAGAAGAGUUGCAGGUUAAGUUACAGUAGCUGGAAGCCUCCUGUACAGACCAAGAAAUGAAACU
rnacentral:lncRNA from 1 species